UAGGGAAUCUUCCGCAAUGGACGCAAGUCUGACGGAGCAACGCCGCGUGAGUGAAGAAGGAUUUCGGUUCGUAAAACUCUGUUGUUAGAGAAGAACAGCGCAUAGAGUAACUGUUAUGCGUGUGACGGUAUCUAACCAGAAAGCCACGGCCAACUACGUGCCAGCAGCCGCGGUAAUACGUAGGUGGCAAGCGUUGUCCGGAUUUAUUGGGCGUAAAGCGAGCGCAGGCGGUCAAUUAAGUCUGAUGUGAAAGCCCCCGGCUCAACCGGGGAGGGUCGUUGGAAACUGGUUGACUUGAGUGCAGAAGAGGAGAGUGGAAUUCCAUGUGUAGCGGUGAAAUGCGUAGAUAUAUGGAGGAACACCAGUGGCGAAGGCGACUCUCUGGUCUGUAACUGACGCUGAGGCUCGAAAGCGUGGGUAGCAAACAGG
rnacentral:rRNA from 1 species